UACAGAGGAGGCAAACGUUGUCCGGAUUCACUGGGCGUAAAGGGCUUGUAGGUGGCCAUUCUAGUCAGAUGUGAAAUCGUUCAGCUUAACUGAACAAUUGCAUUUGAUACUGUUUGGCUUGAGUGCAGGAAGGGAAAUUGGAAUUUCCGGUGUAGCGGUGAAAUGCGUAGAUAUCGGAAAGAACACCCGUGGCGAAGGCGGAUUUCUGGCCUGCAACUGACACUGAGGAGCGAAAGCUAGGGGAGCAAACGGGAUUAGAUACCCCUGUA
rnacentral:rRNA from 1 species